rnacentral:rRNA from 1 species
UGCGGGGGGGGCAAGCGUUGUUCGGAAUUACUGGGCGUAAAGGGCUCGUAGGUGGCCAACUAAGUCAGACGUGAAAUCCCUCAGCUUAACUGGGGAACUGCGUCUGAUACUGGAUGGCUUGAGUUUGGGAGAGGGAUGCGGAAUUCCAGGUGUAGCGGUGAAAUGCGUAGAUAUCUGGAGGAACACCGGUGGCGAAGGCGGCAUCCUGGACCAACACUGACACUGAGGAGCGAAAGCCAGGGGAGCAAACGGG